GCUGAGGAUGGCGCCAUUGGCUUCACCAUAUUGUCUUAUCCUUGCUUACAAAUGUGGCAGAGGAACGUCAAUGGUCAUGGUGUUGCCAUAUGGCUGCCUUCGAAGACCAUUGACAUGCAUACAUUUCUAGGACUCCCUUCUCAGAUUGGGCCAGUGUUGGGAUGGUUGCUGGGGUAUGAUGAGGAUACUGAUGAAAUAUUUUUACUUGUGAGAGCCAAUGUCUAUGGGGUUCAACUAAAGUUGAUGCAGUCCAGGAAACUUUAUGAGUCCAAUGGUGUCAAUCCCUACUAUCCUUUCAAGAGUUUCUACACACCAGAGAUUCACGAAGGUGGCGAAGCUGACAUGUUGCACGAUCCAUAGGACGACUAUGUCUGGUUUGGUGUGCUAAUGUGCUGAAAUGGUCUGAAGAUGAAGGGAUGGCUGCUGCAGUUCUCGACGAGUCUAUUGCGGUCGGCAGUGUUAACAUGUUAUCUGCAUUCUUUUUUUUAUACUCUAGACUAAGCCUAUCCCGUGAAUACGUGAUGAUGUCUUUCUUGAAUAAUUUUUCGUACCUUGGGUAUCUGCACUCUUCAUCUAUUCUUUGUGGGCAACUUCUAUUUGGAAAAUUGUAUAGAUGGCAUGUGUAAGGCUUCUGGUGGUCUUAGACUUUGUAGUAUGAUUUUAUAAGCUUGUGUUCGUAGCUUCACGUUGGUUCUAACUUUGUUUUCUUAACCUUAAGACUCUGCAUGGUAGUACUUAGAUGAAAUCUUAUUUUGGUGAUAUCUUUUAUGUUAUUGAUGUUGCUUGAAUUUUCGUACGGAGCAAUUCUCGUAUGAUGAUGACACAUCUGGACUAAAAGAAUGCAUUUCUUUGAAGAUUUUAC